CUACGGGAGGCUGCAGUGGGGAAUAUUGGACAAUGGGCGAAAGCCUGAUCCAGCCAUGCCGCGUGUGUGAAGAAGGCCUUCGGGUUGUAAAGCACUUUCAGUGGGGAAGAAAGCCUUGGGGCUAAUACCCUCGAGGAAGGACAUCACCCACAGAAGAAGCACCGGCUAACUCCGUGCCAGCAGCCGCGGUAAUACGGAGGGUGCGAGCGUUAAUCGGAAUUACUGGGCGUAAAGCGCGCGUAGGCGGUCUGAUAAGCCGGUUGUGAAAGCCCCGGGCUCAACCUGGGAACGGCAUCCGGAACUGUCAGGCUAGAGUGCAGGAGAGGAAGGUAGAAUUCCCGGUGUAGCGGUGAAAUGCGUAGAGAUCGGGAGGAAUACCAGUGGCGAAGGCGGCCUUCUGGACUGACACUGACGCUGAGGUGCGAAAGCGUGGGUAGCAAACAGGAUUAAUACCCCGGUAGUC
rnacentral:rRNA from 1 species